GGUUGUGUAGUGUAGUGGUGAUCACUCCGGAUUUUGAUUAGCAUUGAAUCGCAUUCCGGCAACCCCGGUUCGAGCCCGGGCACGACCU